UGUGCUGCCAUAGUGGGGUUGUAGUAGUCGUUCUCCCAAUCUUCUGGACUAUUGUCGACCGAUUCUUCUUUGGGUGUGUCGGUCGAUUUCUGGUGGGCACUGUCGAUCGAUGUGGCUGUGUUAGUUUCGAUUGACGCCGAGUAUUCUGUCUCGUACUCAGCUCCACAGUGGCAUGCUGCGAUGAGUCAUGGAUCAUUAAGGAUCUAUGAGUGUCAGGCACAACUAGUUGGUUUGUAAGUUGCACACUGCUCCUACUGUCGACAAGAAAGCUCUCCCAAGGAGUAGAGAAGAGUUUCAGUUUAGCUUGAUAUCCAAGACAUGGAU
rnacentral:lncRNA from 1 species